GUUGAAAGCUGUUGCAAGAUUCUGCAUGACCAUCUCACUGGAACAUCUGUUCACUGAAGGGCAGGAGAACAAGAUAAGGGACACUGGUACUGGGAAACAAAAAGUCAAAAGAGAGGAUGAAACAGAGCACUAGACUAGUUUUGAAGCCACAAAGAUUAGAUUUGGAGAAGCUUGCCACCAUGUUAUGAGGAUACUCGAGCAGACUCUGGAAAGAACAGAGGCCUUACACCAACAGCCAGUACUAACUUCAACAUCGAAGUGCAUAGUCCAGCCCCAUUCAACGCUCAGAUGACUGCAAACCCAGCCAACACCCCAACUACAACGUGGGAGACUAU